rnacentral:rRNA from 1 species
ACGGGCGGUGUGUGCAAGGAGCAGGGACGUAUUCACCGCGCGAUAAUGACACGCAGUUACUAGGGAUUCCAUAUUCAUGAGGGCGAGUUGCAGCCCUCAAUCAUAACUGUGGUAGCGUUUGAAGAUUACCUCCACCUUUCGGUUUCGGAACUCAUUGUCACUACCAUUGCAGCCCGCGUGUGGCCCCAGAGUUUCGGGGCAUACUGACCUGCCGUGGCCCCUUCCUUCCUCCACAUUAACUGUGGCGGUCCCGCUAAUUCGCCCCACUACUCCUGAGAGUAAUGGUGGCAACUAGAGGCAGGGAUCUCGCUCGUUACCUGACUUAACAGGACAUCUCACGGCACGAGCUGGCGACGGCCAUGCACCACCUCUCAGCUUGUCCGGUAAAGUCUUCAGCUUGACCUUCAUUCUGCUGUCUCUCCGGGUAAGAUUUCUGGCGUUGACUCCAAUUGAACCGCAGGCUUCACCCCUUGUGGUGCUCCCCCGCCAAUUCCUUUAAGUUUCAUACUUGCGUACGUACUUCCCAGGCGGCAAACUUAACGGCUUCCCUGCGGCACUGCACUGGCCACAAGCCAGCGCAUCACCGAGUCUGCAUCGUUUACAGCUGGGACUACCCGGGUAUCUAAUCCGGUUUGCUCCCCCAGCUUUCAUCCCUCACCGUCGAACGUGUUCUGGUAGACCGCCUUCGCCACAGGUGGUCAUCAAUAGAUCAAAGGAUUUUACCCCUUCCUACCGAGUACCGUCUACCUCUCCCACUCCCUAGCUUUGCAGUUUUUCCGGCAGCCCAUUUGUUGAGCAAAUGGAUUUAACCGGAAACUU